rnacentral:rRNA from 1 species
GACGAACGCUGGCGGCGUGCUUAACACAUGCAAGUCGAACGGAAAGGCCCUGCUUUUGUGGGGUGCUCGAGUGGCGAGCGGGUGAGUAACACGUGAGUAACCUGCCCUUGACUUUGGGAUAACUUCAGGAAACUGGGGCUAAUACCGGAUAGGAGCUCCUGCUGCAUGGUGGGGGUUGGAAAGUUUCGGCGGUUGGGGAUGGACUCGCGGCUUAUCAGCUUGUUGGUGGGGUAGUGGCUUACCAAGGCUUUGACGGGUAGCCGGCCUGAGAGGGUGACCGGCCACAUUGGGACUGAGAUACGGCCCAGACUCCUACGGGAGGCAGCAGUGGGGAAUAUUGCACAAUGGGCGGAAGCCUGAUGCAGCAACGCCGCGUGCGGGAUGACGGCCUUCGGGUUGUAAACUGCUUUCGCCUGUGACGAAGCGUGAGUGACGGUAAUGGGUAAAGAAGCACCGGCUAACUACGUG